AGCAGCCGCGGUAAUUCCAGCUCCAAUAGCGUAUAUUAAAGUUGUUGCAGUUAAAAGCUCGUAGUUGAAUUUCGGGGUUCUACCGUUGGUCGGGCUAUCGUCUGUACUGGCGUGUAGAAUUUCUACCUUCUGGGGAACUAUCAUGUUAUUAAUUUAGCGUGGUAGGAAACCAGAACCUUUACCUUGAAAAAUUAGAGUGUUCAAAGCAGGCUUAUGUCUGAAUACAUUAGCAUGGAAUAAUAAAAUAGGACGGUGGUCCUGUUUUGUUGGUUUCUGAAUCACCGUAAUGAUUAAUAGGGAUAGUUGGGGCAUUAGUAUUC
rnacentral:misc_RNA from 1 species